GAAAAGAAAGCGAGGGAAAGCAGUGGUAGUAAAAUAACAAGCAUGGGUAAAGGCGAUGGCCCAGACCUAAAAAGUUUCAUUCAGCAACUCCCAGUUGCAUGAGAAGUUGAUAAAUCUGGGGAAGCAUCUGAAGCGACAAGUAGCAACCGG